GGUCAGCUGACACAUCCCUGCCAAUCUCCUGCAGACCCUCCCUCCCAGACCCUCCUACUUCCUGGACAGCAUCCAUGUUGAAGGCAGCUUCAACAUGGAUGCUGUCCAGGAGGUGGGAGGGUCUGGGAGGGAGGGUCUGCCGGAGAUUGGCAGGGAUGUGUCAGCUG